GAAUAUGUAUCUAUGUUGCCUAGCUCCCCGCCCAAGUGUGGGGGAUAAGUUAAACAUUAUAUUGCCGCAAACGCAGAGAAAGUGGAAGAAAAUGAGUCGCUCAGUCUUCUCUCACUUACUCACCCUCUCAAAUUCUUCUCCACGGCUCGCUUCGUCAACGUCGUGCUGUGGAUACGGAAGCAAGUACAGGAAAAAACCAGCUGCUUCAUUACCUCUGCGCAAGCAUGUAGGUGGACGGAAUAGCGAGGGCUUUCGAAGCAUUUGUAGCGUUUCGCUUGCCGAACCUGCAGUUUCAGAAAAUUCUUCGAAUUCUGUAAAGAAAAGGAUUGUGUCUGGAGUCCAGCCAACAGGAUCUGUCCAUUUGGGAAAUUAUCUUGGUGCAAUAAAAAAUUGGGUUUCACUUCAGAAUACUUAUGAUACUCUUUUUUUCAUCGUGGAUCUCCAUGCGAUUACAUUGCCAUAUGAUGCACAAAAAUUAUCAAAGGCAACAAGGGACACCGCAGCUAUUUAUUUGGCCUGUGGAGUGGACACCUCCAAGGCUUCUGUUUUUCUGCAAUCUCAUGUUAGAGCCCAUGUAGAGUUGAUGUGGUUAUUAAGUUGUGUAACACCUGUUGGUUGGCUUAACAGAAUGAUUCAGUUUAAAGAGAAAUCACGCAAGGCGGGAGAUGAAAAUGUUGGAGUUGCUCUUUUGACUUACCCUGUUCUGAUGGCUUCUGAUAUUCUGUUGUAUCAGUCUGACUUUGUCCCAGUUGGAGAGGAUCAGAAGCAGCACCUGGAGUUGACACGUGAGCUGGCUGAGCGUGUUAACAAUUUUUAUGGUGGAAGGAAGUGGAAGAAAUUAGGAGGGAGAGGAGGUGCUAUUUUUAAGGUUCCUGAGCCCCUUAUACCACCAGCUGGCGCCCGAGUGAUGUCACUCACUGAUGGUCUUUCCAAGAUGUCGAAGUCUGCCCCUUCUGAUCAGUCUCGGAUCAAUCUUCUUGAUCCAAAAGAUGUUAUAGCAAACAAGAUAAAGCGUUGCAAAACUGACUCGUUUCCUGGCCUAGAAUUUGACAAUCCUGAAAGACCGGAGUGCAACAAUCUUCUUUCAAUAUAUCAGCUCAUUUCAGGAAGGACAAAAGAGGAGGUUUCACAGGAGUGCCAAGAUAUGAACUGGGGCUCAUUUAAAUCCCUACUAACUGAUGCCUUGGUUGAUCAUCUGCAUCCCAUUCAGGUUCGUUAUGAGGAAAUAAUAUCUGAUUCAGCUUAUUUGGAUAGAAUUUUGGCUGAUGGAGCUGUCAAGGCUGCAGAUAUAGCAGAUGCUACUCUUAAUAAUGUCUACCAGGCAAUGGGAUUCUUGCGAAAAUGAGCAGAACCGAUGCUGCAGGAAGCAUUGAUGUGAGAAAGACCAUUAAGACAGUAACAUUAAACUUUUGGAGGAUCCAUCGUUGCCCACAAUUCUUGAGGCAUAACCAUAAGCACAUUCUUGAGGAGAGGAAAAGAUAAUUAUUGGGAGGCCCCACAAAUUCAUUGGUACAGCUUCCUUCAUCCAGAGAGAAAAUGCAGACGUCAGAGAAGACAUGAUGAGGAUCACUCUUGCUAACCUAGAAGCUCGUAUUCUUGCUCUUAUCAGAAAUUUAUAUAUAUUUUUUAAUUUCCUUCUUUUAAUCAAUGCCUUCUAAUUGAAAGCUAUAGAAUUGUUGAAGUGGACAAACUGUUAUUUAGUUGAUCCAUAUUAACUUGCCGCACUGAUAUUUUCAAAUUUUUUCUGGUCUUGGUUAUUGCCUGUUGAUCAGAAUCAUUUUGCAAGGUCGAGGGUAAGAAAUGGAAUUUAUGGUGAGCCUUCCGAGUUGUUACUGUUCAUUUGUCCUUUUCUGUUUGUACUCCCACUUAGCUAGGAAUCAAAUUCUCAUUUAAUUUGUUUUAUUUAUGGGGAAUCAUCAGCAUGCUGUUUUCCUAUUUUGAUUUAAAACUUAAAUUACCUACGUUGGUCAAAAUCCUCAAAGGAAUAUUAUAUUCUAUUUUUUGUACUCCAGAGCCCUGAAAACCCAUAGAAAAUAAAAUAACAAUAACAAUAAUAAUAAUAAUAAUAAUAAUAAUAAUGUCAAGUAAA